rnacentral:misc_RNA from 1 species
GAUCAUUACUGUGAUUUAGUACUACACUGCGUGAGCGGAACGAAAACAACAACACCUAAAAUGUGGAAUAUAGCAUAUAGUCGACAAGAGAAAUCUACGAAAAAACAAACAAAACUUUCAACAACGGAUCUCUUGGUUCUCGCAUCGAUGAAGAGCGCAGCGAAAUGCGAUACCUAGUGUGAAUUGCAGCCAUCGUGAAUCAUCGAGUUCUUGAACGCACAUUGCGCCCCUCGGCAUUCCGGGGGGCAUGCCUGUUUGAGCGUCGUUUCCAUCUUGCGCGUGCGCAGAGUUGGGGGAGCGGAGCGGACGACGUGUAAAGAGCGUCGGAGCUGCGACUCGCCUGAAAGGGAGCGAAGCUGGCCGAGCGAACUAGACUUUUUUUCAGGGACGCUUGGCGGCCGAGAGCGAGUGUUGCGAGACAACAAAAAGCUCGACCUCAAAUCAGGUAG